CUACAGAGGAGCUGAAGGUAAAAGUCAGAGGAGAAUGGACCCCCCUGGUGACGCUGGCUCAACAGUGUGGCUACAGUUUGGAGAGACAAGAUGCAGAGAUUUUAGUCACUGCUCCCUUCAUUACCUGUGGCAUCACAGUAAAGGAUGGAAAAUACAC